CGCACGGGUGCGUAACACGUAGGUAAUCAACCCUCUGGUUGGGGAUAACACUUCGAAAGGAGUGCUAAUACCCGGUAAUGGCGCAAGCGGUCUUCGGAAUUCGCGGCGAGAAAGACCCGCAAGGGUUGCCAGAGGACGAGCCUGCGGCCCAUCAGCUAGUUGGCGAGGUAACGGCUCACCAAGGCGAAGACGGGUAGCUGGUCUGAGAGGAUGAUCAGCCACACUGGAACUGAGACACGGUCCAGACUCCUACGGGAGGCAGCAGUGGGGAAUAUUGCGCAAUGGGCGAAAGCCUGACGCAGCCACGCCGCGUGAGCGAUGAAGGCCUUCGGGUCGUAAAGCUCUGUGGGAGAGAAGAUAAAGCCUGUGAAGAGCAGGCCUUGACGGUAUCUCCUUAGCAAGCACCGGCUAACUCCGUG
rnacentral:rRNA from 1 species